rnacentral:rRNA from 1 species
UACGGAGGGUGCGGGCGUUGUUCGGAAUCACUGGGCGUAAAGCGCGUGUAGGCGGCCCACUAAGUCUGAUGUGAAAGCCCGGGGCUCACCCCCGGAAGUGCAUUGGAAACUGGUGGACUCGAGUCCCGGAGAGGAGAGUGGAAUUCCUGGUGUAGCGGUGAAAUGCGUAGAUAUCAGGAGGAACACCGGUGGCGAAGGCGGCUCUCUGGACGGUGACUGACGCUGAGACGCGAAAGCGUGGGGAGCAAACAGG